AGAAGUUGCAUGUCAAAUGGGUUCUCUAAGUUUCGGACUCUAUUUCGAAAAAUAUCCUUGUCUCAAUAAGGUAUACUCUGUGCGCGUGUCACGACCAGCAAGUAAAAGGAGAAUGUUAAAUUCCAUUUGCCGCAAGUCCUGUUACGUACUACCCAUUCUCACGCUGCGUUUAUAGUUGUGUGCCGCCCAAUUCGUUACCUUCACCUAUUUGCGAAGAGAACAUCUGCUUCAAGGAAGUACAUUACUGCAUAGUGCAUUUUUGAGAUGAUUCAAGCCUAAAGGACUUCUAUCUCAAUGGCUUCCAGCAAUGUGUAUCAGCAUUUAUGGUUCAACAGCUAUGUGGAAAGCUAUAAUAAGAGAAUUUAAACUGUUGGGUAAAAGGAAAUCCAUUGUUUAUCAAG